UGGAGGUCAUUUCCUGUGUGUGUGUAUGUGUUGAUGGGGGUCAUUCCAUGUGUGUGUGUGUUGGUGGGGGUCAUUCUGUGUGUGUGUGUUGGUGGAGGUCAUUUCCUGUGUGUGUGUGUAUGUGUUGAUGGGGGUCAUUUCCUGUGUGUGUGUGUGUGUUGGUGGGGGUCAUUCUGUGUGUGUGUGUGUUGAUGGGGGUUGUUCCGUGUGCGUGUGUAUGUUGGUGAGGGGCCAUUCCCUGGCCCUGCACCUGGAGCUCUGACCGAGUGCCUGCCCAUCAGAUGGUUCCUGAUAGUUCCUUGACCCAUUUGUACUGUUUUGUUUUGCAUUUUGGCUGCAGUGGAUCUUGCUGCACACAGGCUUUUUCUUGAGAUGAGUGGGGCUCUUCUUACUGUGGAGCAGGGGUUCUAGGGGCUUCUGCAGUUGCGGCACUCGGGCUUAGUCACCCUGCAACACGCAGGAUCCUCCCAGGCCACACUGGCAGGCAGAUUCUUAACCUCUGCACCUCCAGAGAAGUCUGCCCCAUUUGUGCAUGAAGGGGCUCCCUGACUGCGUCACAGGGGGACACCCCCAUGGCCAGAGGCGACCAGUUGGCGCCCUCAGCCUCUGCGGUCUCACCGAGAUCUGAUUUGCGGUAGACCCCCAUCUUGGGGUACGAAAGAAACAGAACCGACACAGUUUGCUCAAGUGACAUAUUUCAAUAUAAUCUCUAAAACUCUAUGAAUUGAACAGAUAAAAUACCUCUGGGCUAUUUUGUUACAAAAUAUUUGCCAUUUGGAUUUGUCGCUGGGUGCAGCCACCUUGCUUUUCUUUCCCUUGAGAGGCUGCUCUUGACGGGUAAGGAGGCGUACGCGGCGACAGCAGGGGUGCAGCGAGGGUGUAUGUACAGCAGGACACAGGGACAGACAGACCGGUGGUUGGCGGGGAAGCCUACUGGCACACUGACGUCUGGCGGGCUGUGGGGGCCAGGGGGCGGGGUCAGGGCUGAGCACGAGAGUGGGUG
ensembl:lncRNA